GCUCUAUUCUAACUUCGAUACUCUCUCUUCUCCUCCCUUUCUCAUUUAUCUCUCAGUUCGUCUCCCAUCAAAUCGAUUCUGAAAUUUGGUGAGUAAAACCCUAAUCGCUUCUUUCUUCUAGCUCUUAAACAUAGCUGCAACUCGGCUCUGAAACACGGCUUGCCAAUCCGCUCUGUUAUGUCUUCAUGCUCUCUUUAUUCGAUCCCCUCUAUUGCAAACUCCACGAACAACGGGUGCAAAUCAGCGACGAAACGUGGUGAGUGAAACCUUCAUUGCUUCUUUCUUCUUGCUCUGAAACGCGGGUGCAAAUCGGCUCUGAAACUGAGAUGGACACGAGCAGCAAGAAGCAUGGUAGUCAAGGACAGUGAUGCAGCUUGGCGAUGGAAUUAGUUGCUAUCUUUUGACUUGCUUUUGACUUGAUUUUUAUUUACUUCCUUUAUUGGUUAGAGAUUGGAUUAACAGUCUUUUAUUUAGAUUUGAUUUUUAUUUUAGUUGCUAUCUAGGUUUAGUUUCCAUUUUUAAUUAGCUUCCAAAAUUAUGUCAUUAUUUUUUCUUUAAAUAGCCCUGUAAUGGAGAAGAACUCAGUUUUUAGAAUUGAAUGAAACUGAAAUUAGAUUUUGGAUAAAAUUAUGGCUGUCGUGGGCUGCUUAUCUCUUGUUCUCUUUCUCUGAAGGUCCCUCUCUAAACUAUUCUCUUUUUCCUUCUUAUCUUUUUUUUUUUUUUUUUUCUCCUUACUACUAUUUUCUGUUCCUGUUAUCGUUUCCUUGUUCUGGGCGGUAGUCACAGCCCUAGUUUAAAGGAUCGACCUCUUUCUCCUUUAAGGUUGCUAGACUGAGCUUUUGGUUGAAGGAAACCCUUCCCAAGGCGACUCUAACCCUUGAAUAUCAGGCCUGAAGGUGACUCCUGUUGUGAGAAACAAAAACCUGCAACUUAGGUUACCUAAACCUACCGCCAGAUCUGUUUGCAGGCAUUACAGCCCCUGUUUGCAUUGCUGUUCUGAGGUAUUUCCCAUCUGAAAUCAAGAGGCCCUUUAGUGAAGCAUCAUCGCCUGGAAUCUCAGGCCUAAUAGAGGGGAUUUGAAGGAGAUUUAGCCCCAGCAAGCCGUUGGAUUCUUCCGCCCCUGCUGGUUGUCCAAGGAAGAAGAAGAAAGACCCGUGAGUUGUGGUUUAAAACCCUUUCAUUUGGUUUUUCCCAUUAUACCCCUCAAACCCCUUGAUUUUUGUCCUUUAGUAUUUGUUCUUUUGUGUAAAAGUCCCUCUUUUGUUUUACCUCCAUUAAUAAUACCCCUUCCAUUCCACCUUUAUUUACUACUUACCCAUGCCCAAUAAUUGCUUCCAAGACUACCCCUGGUCAAUAAUUCUAAUCCCCUUCAUAUCCCAUCAGUUACUUUAACCUCCUUUCAUCCUUUUAAGAUCCCUUUUAUUUACAAGUCUGCCAAUCCUUUCUAGGUUUCUUGUAAUUACUAAACUGCCACCUCCCUUUAGUUUCAGUUAAUUACAGAACCACCAUCACUCCUUAUAUUUUGAAUUUACUACUUUAUUGUGGGCCCUAAGCGAUCCGAUUCCUGUUCUUGGAACCCAGAUCCGCAUCAGACAGUGAAGGAAAAGAGGUUGUUGAAGAUGUUAACUUAAAUCGUACACUACGAUAUAAGCUUCUUUGUCCUGAUCUUGUUAAGAUAGCAGUACAGGCUUCAUAUUCAGCUGAAGGAUAUGAUUUGGUGAAAAAUGUUGUCCAAGAAGUAUGCAAGCAACUUGAAAGUAUCACUAUAUCUGAUGGCUCGCCAGUGGUGGUCCCUAAUGAGGUCCCUAUCGUCCUCAAUAGGAUCGAACUGAAGAAGAAACAAUCUUAUAAAAGUGGUAGACGGGGUAAGAGUUGGGUUGAAAGACAAGGAAAGAAAAGACAAAGUCGAGGACCAAGUAUCAGUCAAGCUCCACCAGAACUUGAAUCAGUUCCUAUUCCCUUUACUGAUGCUGCAUCUUCUUCACUGAAUGAACCAGUUAAUUUCACAGAUUUUUUUACGGUAAUUGUUAAAAAAUUUUGUUUUGUUCUUUAAAAACCUAAACCCUCUUAUGUAUAUAUAUUUUUUCAAAUUGGUACCAUUGUUGCCUUUCUAUAGGGAACUAUGAUCAUGUUCUUGCAGAUUUAGCAUCUCAAGCAUCAACAAGAUACAUGGAUCAUUUCCAAGAAUAUGAUUAAGGAAGAGCAUUUUUCUUCUUUUACGGUAAUUGUUAAAAAUUAUUGUUCUGUUCUUUAAAUACCUAAACCCUCUUAUUUAUAUAAUUUUUUUAAGACCGGUAUCCAUUGUUGCCUUUCUACAGGGGAACUAUGAUCUGCUUUCAGAUUUAGUAUCUCAAGCAUCAUCAAUAUAUAUAGACCAUUUCCAAGAAUAUGAUUGAGGACAUCAUUUUUCUUCUUUGAACUCAUUACUCUAUUUGAUUUUAAUAUGCGAUUCACAUAUUGAUAUUAA